GGCGAAGGUCUGCAGCUUCACUCCUAAAGCCAGAGAGACCACAAACCCACCGGGAGGAACGAACAACUCCAGACGCGCGGCCUUAAGAGCUGUAACACUCACCGCGAAAGUCUGCAGCUUCACUCCUAAAGCCAGCGAGACCACGAACCCACCAGGAGGAACGAACAAUUCCAGAUGCGCCGCCUUAGGAGCUGUAACACUCACCGCGAAGAUCUGCAGCUUCACUCCUGAGCCGGCGAGACCACGAACCCCACCAGAAGGAAGAAACUCCGGACACGCCGCCUUUAAGAACUAUAACACUCACGGCGAGGGUCCACGGCUUCAUUCUUGAAGUCAGUGAAACCAAGAACCCACCAAUUCCGGACACAGCAGGAUCCCACCCACAGAACCGCCAGGUGCACAGCUGCAUAUCCUCAGGGGAAAACUCCCCUCCCCUGCCACCUUACUGAUAGGCUUCACUUCCCAGAGAACUUUCCCAAUCCUGUGCAAUGCCUGAGUGGUACAUUGUAUUCUAUGAGAAUGGCGCCCCCGCCUCCAGAGUUGUGCAACAAGACUUCCAUGAAUCAAAGCCCAUCGCUGGCUGCCUCCUCUAGCCCUGCAUAGCCCAGAAGCUACAACCUCAGCCCAGAUUAGCAGGCUGAGGGGUCAGGAGGCUGUCACUGGAGCUGUUGAGCUCAUGAACACG
rnacentral:lncRNA from 1 species